GCUUGAUGACUUGCACAGAGCUGGCUGGGAAGACACCGCUGAUCCCGUUGGCCUCGCCCAGGUACCAGUUCUCAUCCAGCUGUCGGAGCAGCAUGAUGAUGUCCCCUUUGUUGAACCUCAGCUCGCCGGGAUUGUGCCCUCGCAUGUCCGGAGGUGACAGCAGCUGUGGAGCACCCGAUGGCUGUCACCUGCAGGGCCCAACACAGCAUCUUCAGGAGCAGCUACGGGAAGCAGAGCACAGACUGGAAAUACUGACUCGGGCAGCACUCGAGCAAAGAAACCAUUGCAGGAUGCCUGCCUGGGCACGCACACCUCCUCCAGCAGGGCCCAGGCUGCGGGUCUCUGGGGAAGAAAACCUGCAGGGUCACGGGAGGGCUCGGCCGCAUCCGCGAGACUCGGAGACACUCCCAGUGUCAAACCAGGAUGAGGAGCACGGCUGGAGAGCUUUAGGAGUGACCAGAAAAUGUAAAGGACUCGUGCAGCCUGUGAGAGCAGGGCUCCUAGAAGGGGAACGCAAACGUCCGGGAAGAUGAGAGAGUGGUUGCACAACGAAAUAAGGCCAAACAUAAAAGGCACCAAGAACGAGUUAUGGAAAUGUAUUAAAAAUAAGAGAAACUCUGAAAUGAAAUGCAAACCUAUUACUACUGGGAAAUGGUGAACAAGCAAUGGGGUAGUCUGGAAUGUUCUUUCUCCAGCAAGAAAAAGGAUGAUCAGAUACCCUGAGAAAUUAAUUUUAAUGAGACAGGAGUGUGGGCCUGACUAGAGGACUGAAACCUGGCUGGAACAGAGGUGUUUGUGACAUGAGGGCUUGCAGAAACUCACCCCUGAGUGCGUGAAGAAAGGGUCAGGUACCCUCUGAGCAAUUAGUGCUUGUCCGCAAGAGCUCCUGGAAGGCAGAACUGCUCCCGCAGGACAGGAAUAAAGUUUCUGAAGCUGUGUGUGGCCACGACCCCUGCCUCCAGACAUGCCCAUGCAGAGCUGAAGUUUUGUUAUAGGAAAACUCAUCUCCCUGGGUGCAGCAGAAUAUUUCUGGCAUUGCUAGAAAUACCAGCAGCAGUGCACCUGGUGGGCAGGGUUGGCGCUUUCGUGGCCCUGCCACAAGUGCCGAUUUGUCUGGCAAAUAGCGCACGGGGGUCUCCUGGCUGUGCAGGGCAGGCGGGAUGCUGCGGCCAGCGCUGGGGCACGGGCUGCUGGCUCCCAUGGUGGGGGGCCCAGCCACAGCUCCCGGCUGGGGAGGACGAGCAGGUCUGGUGCUCUCAGGCUGGGCAGACGCCAAUGGAAACGGCCCUGGCUUGCAGCUCGGUGCCGGGAGGCUGCGGGGGAAGCGAGCGCAGCCGGCGGCAGAGCCCCUGGCAGCAGCAGCGGAGCCUCCCAAACCCGUCCCGGGAGAAGGGCCCGCGGCACUCCCAGCUCGCCACCACAGCCCCGAGGUUCCUCGUCCCUGCUGCUUCCCCCGGCUGGGAGCCUGUGGCCUGGGCACCCCGUGGCUGUGCCCUCUGGGACAUUCCCAGAGUGGCGUGAGGCGUAACGGGCUGGGCUUUCUUCCUCUGGCCACGGUCACAGCCUUCCCUUCUUUACCUCUUCUUUCACCUUCCUCUCACUUCCAUGCCCUUUCAAAUCUCACUGCUCCUUCUGCUUUCCAGCAUCCCUCUAAGUCUCGUUUUUUCUCCCAGCUGUGUCCUGGAGCUUGUAAUGAUGAAUUGGCAGAAUCUCACCCGCCGCUUUGUAGAGCAGAGCAUGUAUUCGCUCACUGAAACUUGUUGCAAAACAUGUGGAUGCAAAAUUUCACUAAUAUUAAUGGUUAUAUGCUUCUUUAGCAUCCAAAAAAAUAUUCAGAAUCUUGGUCUUUUGGGACUUCUUAGUCGUUUUGCACACUCACAAGGUGAGGUCGGUGUGUCCAUUCAUGGCCACCUCGCCAGGAAUCCUUACAAGGCUGGUAAGCCCACGGGGCGGGUGCACCCCGUGGCUGUUCCCCACCCAGUGAAUUUGAGGCUGGUGGGGGAGAAAGGGUUUUCUGACCAUUCUUGGUAUUUGGCACUGGCUGUGCUAGGCAGCCAUCCAAUACAUCUGAGUUUCCCUCCGUACAAAACAAAGACGCAAAUUAAAAAUAUGCACAUGUGUGUGUAAAGAAGCGAUUCAAAGCAUCCCUUCAUAGCUGGGAGAAAUGUGCACUAUAAUUAUCUUAAAUGAGCUAGUUACAACGUCCUCGUUAUUGACAGAGGGUUAACGUGAGAGCACACCCUCACAGCACUGGUAUCGAAAA